GGCCCAGUGGCGUAGUGGUAUCGCGCUCCGGAGACGGUAUCUUGGGUUAGAUAUAAAUAUGUCUUGGAGAGACGCAGGUUCGAUUCCUGCCUUGGCUA